UACGUAGGGGGCAAGCGUUGUCCGGAAUUAUUGGGCGUAAAGAGCGCGUAGGCGGUCCGGUAAGUCGGCUGUGAAAGUCAAGGGCUCAACCCUUGAAAGCCGGCCGAUACUGUCGGACUAGAGUCCGGAAGAGGCGAGUGGAAUUCCUGGUGUAGCGGUGAAAUGCGCAGAUAUCAGGAAGAACACCCGUGGCGAAGGCGGCUCUCUAGUACGGUACUGACGCUGAGACGCGAAAGCGUGGGGAGCGAACAGG
rnacentral:rRNA from 1 species